rnacentral:lncRNA from 1 species
AAAUAUAUCGGUAAAACAAGCUAAUAAUAAUGCUGACGUAAUGAUAAUUGAAACAGCCAUAGAGCAAUUCAAUUUAACAAAUACAACUAUUGUUGUAGGUGAAGAUGUAGACUUGCUCGUAUUACUCACUGGUAGAACUCCAAUCGAAAAAA